CGCAAGCCUGAUGCAGCCAUGCCGCGUGUAUGAAGAAGGCCUUCGGGUUGUAAAGUACUUUCAGCAGUGAGGAAGGUGGAUAUGUUAAUAGCAUAUUCAUUUGACGUUAGCUGCAGAAGAAGCACCGGCUAACUCCGUGCCAGCAGCCGCGGUAAUACGGAGGGUGCGAGCGUUAAUCGGAAUUACUGGGCGUAAAGCGCAUGCAGGUGGUUUGUUAAGUCAGAUGUGAAAGCCCGGGGCUCAACCUCGGAAUUGCAUUUGAAACUGGCAAACUAGAGUACUGUAGAGGGGGUAGAAUUUCAGGUGUAGCGGUGAAAAUGCGUAGAGAUCUGAAGGAAUACCGGUGGCGAAGGCGGCCCCCUGGACAGAUACUGACACUCAGAUGCGAAAGCGUGGGGAGCAAACAGGAUUAGAUACCCUGGUAG
rnacentral:rRNA from 1 species